ACUACCAAUGGACAUCUGCACGCACAAUAACCUUCAAAGACUCAAACUACUUCACCUGUCGUGGAACAAAUUGGAAGGAGAUAUACCGUCGAGUUUGUACUAAUGUCCACAACUCGAGAUUAUUGACUUGUCAUCCAACAACUUUGGUGGAAAUGUGUCUAAACAAAUUGGGAAUAUCACACUGCUAAAGGAAUUGGAUCUUGGUUGGAACUAUUUGAGAGGUGGUAUUCCAAAAGAGAUUGAUAAUCUUAAUAAUUUGGAGAUAUUAGACAUGAGUUACAACAAUCUUUGUGAACCAUUUCCAAGACAAAUUUGGAACAUCACAACUCUCCAUGAACUACACCUUCGGGAUGCCUCUUUAAAUGGUACAAUACCAUUCACCAUUGAGAAUCUAUCAAAUCUGUAGUGGCUAGAGCUCUCUUCCAACCAAUUAAAUGGUGAUUUAUUAAACAUUA